UACGUAGGGUGCAAGCGUUAAUCGGAAUUACUGGGCGUAAAGCGUGCGCAGGCGGUUAUGUAAGACAGAAUGUGAAAUCCCCGGGCUCAACCUGGGAACUGCAUUUGUGACUGCAUAGCUAGAGUACGGUAGAGGGGGAUGGAAUUCCGCGUGUAGCAGUGAAAUGCGUAGAUAGUGCGGAGGAACACCGAUGGCGAAGGCAAUCCCCGUGGACCUGUACUGACGCUCAUGCACGAAAGCGUGGGGAGCAAACGAGGAUUACGAA
rnacentral:rRNA from 1 species